GAUGAACGCUGGCGGCGUGCCUAAUACAUGCAAGUCGAGCGAACAGACGAGGAGCUUGCUCCUCUGACGUUAGCGGCGGACGGGUGAGUAACACGUGGAUAACCUACCUAUAAGACUGGGAUAACUUCGGGAAACCGGAGCUAAUACCGGAUAAUCUAUUGAACCGCAUGGUUCAAUAGUGAAAGACGGUUUUGCUGUCACUUAUAGAUGGAUCCGCGCCGCAUUAGCUAGUUGGUAAGGUAACGGCUUACCAAGGCAACGAUGCGUAGCCGACCUGAGAGGGUGAUCGGCCACACUGGAACUGAGACACGGUCCAGACUCCUACGGGAGGCAGCAGUAGGGAAGCGUCCGCAAGGGGCGAAAGCUUGACGGAGCAGCGCCGCGUGAGUGAUGAAGGUCUUCGGAUCGUAAAACUCUGUUAUUAGGGAAGAACAAAUGUGUAAGUAACUAUGCACGUCUUGACGGUACCUAAUCAGAAAGCCACGGCUAACUACGUG
rnacentral:rRNA from 1 species